AAGGAUAGUCUUGGGGGGGGGCGCAUAUAUUCACCUCUAUUUAAAUUUUUGUUUAUGAGUGGAGAGGGGUCAAUGAACCUCAGGUAAAGAUGUCCUG
rnacentral:miRNA from 1 species